AACAUCGCCUCUUGCAACCAUAAGAGGUCCAACCUGCCCAGUGAUUUUAUUCAACGGCCGCGGUAUUCUAACCGUGCAAAGGUAGCGUAAUCACUUGUUUUCUAAAUAAAGACCAGUAUGAAAGGCAUCACGAGGACCCAGCUGUCUCCUCUCUUCAAUCAGUGAACCUAAUCUCCCCGUGAAGAAGCGGGGAUUCUUCUAUAAGACGAGAAGACCCUGUGGAGCUUAAAACAUUAUAACAAUUGCCCAGAUUUUAACCACUCAAGUGCACUUCCCCAAACGGCACUCUAAUUAUAUGUUUUUGGUUGGGGUGACCGCGGAGAACUACCCAUCCUCCGCAAUGAAGAGGGUUUCCCACCCUAAACAACAAGUUACAACUUUAUGCAUCAAAAAAUUGACAUUCAUUGACCCAAUAAAUUGAUUAACGAACCAAGUUACCCCAGGGAUAACAGCACAAUCCACUUUGAGAGUCCCUAUCGACAAGUGGGCUUAUGACCUCGAUGUUGGAUCGAGAUAUCCCAGUGGUGCAGCCGCUACUAAAGGUUCGUUUGUUCAACGAUUAAAAUCUCACGUGAU
rnacentral:rRNA from 1 species